rnacentral:piRNA from 1 species
UAGGAGAUGCCCAUUUUUCUGCC